CCUACGGGAGGCAGCAGUGGGGAAUAUUGCACAAUGGGGGAAACCCUGAUGCAGCGACGCCGCGUGAGUGAAGAAGCGUUUCGGCGCGUAAAGCUCUGUCAGCGGGGAAGAAACACGGUUCGCGAGAGCCGCGGAUGGUACCCGACCAAGAAGCCCCGGCUAACUACGUGCCAGCAGCCGCGGUAAUACGUAGGGGGCAAGCGUUAUCCGGAUUCACUGGGUGUAAAGGGAGCGUAGACGGCGUGCCAAGUCUGAUGUGAAAGGCCGGGGCUCAACCCCGGGACUGCAUUGGAAACUGGCAUGCUGGAGUGCCGGAGGGGCAAGCGGAAUUCCUAGUGUAGCGGUGAAAUGCGUAGAUAUUAGGAGGAACACCGGUGGCGAAGGCGGCUUGCUGGACGGUAACUGACGUUGAGGCUCGAAAGCGUGGGGAGCAAACAGGAUUAGAUACCCGGGUAGUC
rnacentral:rRNA from 1 species